AUGAAUAUACCUGCCCUAAGAAGAGGUAGUAACAAAGCUAAUCAUAACUUUGAGCACAGGAAUACUGAGGAGGAGCUCUGGGGCCUGGCUGUGCUUCCCUUAGCCCUUCUGCUGGAGUCCAGGUGCAGAAUCUCUUCCGUAGAGGAAAUCUCUCUGUCAGCAGACAGAGGUAGUAAUGACAUAUUGAAGUCCGAAAAGAUUGACUUGAAAGGCUUUGAGGCUCCUCAAAAAUAGCGUUCAUAGGGCAGUAAAUAGGUUGGCAAACAAGGAAUAGGAGGACCUGUGGUUUACACCCAGUGUCAACAACAAGAUAAUUUGCCUAUGGGUAAGUACAGCUUUCCUAAGAGUUUUAAUUCCCCCAGAGGCCCUGUGGUUUCCAUCUAUUCCUGCAAUUAGC
rnacentral:lncRNA from 1 species